UGGGGAAUAUUGCACAAUGGGGGAAACCCUGAUGCAGCAACGCCGCGUGAAGGAAGACGGUUUUCGAAUUGUAAACUUCUAUCAAUAGGGACGAAAGAAAUGACGGUACCUAAAUAAGAAGCCCCGGCUAACUACGUGCCAGCAGCCGCGGUAAUACGUAGGGGGCAAGCGUUAUCCGGAAUUACUGGGUGUAAAGGGUGAGUAGGCGGCACUGUAAGUAAGAUGUGAAAGCCUUAGGCUUAACCUGAGGAUUGCAUUACAAACUGCAGAGCUAGAGUACAGGAGAGGAAAGCGGAAUUCCUAGUGUAGCGGUGAAAUGCGUAGAUAUUAGGAAGAACACCAGUGGCGAAGGCGGCUUUCUGGACUGGAAACUGACGCUGAGGCACGAAAGCGUGGGGAGCGAACAGGAUUAGAUACC
rnacentral:rRNA from 1 species